rnacentral:rRNA from 1 species
CCAAUAGCGUAUAUUAAAGUUGCUGCAGUUAAAAAGCUCGUAGUUGAAUUUCGGAACCAAUAUGUUGGUUGUGCCUCAGUACGUACUGGCAUUGUUGGUUUCUCCCUUCUGACGAACUAUGAUGUCAUUAAUUUGGUGUCAUGGGGAAUCAGGACUGUUACUUUGAAAAAAUUAGAGUGUUUAAAGCAGGCUCACGCUUGAAUACAUUAGCAUGGAAUAAUGAAAUAGGACGUUUGAUUCUAUUUUGUUGGUUUCUAGGAUUGACGUAAUGAUUAAUAGGGAUAGUUGGGGGCAUUAGUAUUCAAUUGUCAGAGGUGAAAUUCUUGGAUUUAUUGAAGACUAACUACUGCGAAAGCAUUUGCCAAGGAUGUUUUCAUUAAUCAAGAACGAAAGUUAGGGGAUCGAAGACGAUCAGAUACCGUCGUAGUCUUAACCAUAAACUAUGCCGACUAGGGAUCGGAUGAUGUUAAUUUUUUAAUGACUCAUUCGGCGCCUUACG